UAGGGAAUCUUCCACAAUGGACGCAAGUCUGAUGGAGCAACGCCGCGUGAGUGAAGAAGGGUUUCGGCUCGUAAAGCUCUGUUGUUAAAGAAGAACGUGGGUAAGAGUAACUGUUUACCCAGUGACGGUAUUUAACCAGAAAGCCACGGCUAACUACGUGCCAU
rnacentral:rRNA from 1 species